UACAGAGGUCUCAAGCGUUGUUCGGAAUCACUGGGCGUAAAGGGUGCGUAGGCGGCGUGGAAAGUCAGAUGUGAAAUCCGGGGGCUCAACCUCCGAAUAGCAUCCGAUACUCCCGCGCUAGAGUGCUGCAGGGAGGUCUGGAAUUCUCGGUGUAGCAGUGAAAUGCGUAGAUAUCGAGAGGAACGCUCGUGGCGAAGGCGAGACCUUGGGCAGCAACUGACGCUGAGGCACGAAGGCCAGGGGAG
rnacentral:rRNA from 1 species